rnacentral:rRNA from 1 species
CAGGCUUAACACAUGCAAGUCGAGGGGCAGCGGGGUAGUGCUUGCACUACUGCCGGCGACCGGCGCACGGGUGAGUAACACGUAUGGAACCUGCCCGCAGCAGGGGGAUAAGCGGAAGAAAUUCCGUCUAAUACCGCGUAACAACGUUGGGAGGCAUCUCCCGAUGUUUAAAGAUUUAUCGGCUGCGGAUGGCCAUGCGGCGCAUUAGCUAGUCGGCGGGGUAACGGCCCACCGAGGCGACGAUGCGUAGGGGUUCUGAGAGGAAGGUCCCCCACACUGGUACUGAGACACGGACCAGACUCCUACGGGAGGCAGCAGUGAGGAAUAUUGGUCAAUGGCCGAGAGGCUGAACCAGCCAAGCCGCGUGAGGGAAGACGGCCCUACGGGUUGUAAACCUCUUUUGUCGGGGAGCAAAGCGAACCACGUGUGGUUCAUUGAGAGUACCCGAAGAAAAAGCAUCGGCUAACUCCGUGCCAGCAGCCGCGGUAAUACGGAGGAUGCGAGCGUUAUCCGGAUUUAUUGGGUUUAAAGGGUGCGCAGGCGGAGGUGCAAGUCAGCGGUCAAAUUGCGGGGCUCAACCCCGUACUGCCGUUGAAACUGCAUCCCUUGAGUGCGCGAGAAGUAUGCGGAAUGCGUGGUGUAGCGGUGAAAUGCAUAGAUAUCACGCAGAACUCCGAUUGCGAAGGCAGCAUACCGGCGCGCAACUGACGCUCAUGCACGAAAGCGUGGGUAUCGAACAGGAUUAGAUACCCUGGUAGUCCACGCAGUAAACGAUGAACACUAACUGUUCGGCCAGAAUGAUGGCUGAGUGGUACAGCGAAAGCGUUAAGUGUUCCACCUGGGGAGUACGCCGGCAACGGUGAAACUCAAAGGAAUUGACGGGGGCCCGCACAAGCGGAGGAACAUGUGGUUUAAUUCGAUGAUACGCGAGGAACCUUACCCGGGCUCAAACGACACAGGAAUACUUUUGAAAGGAGGUAGCCCUACGGGGUCUGUGUCGAGGUGCUGCAUGGUUGUCGUCAGCUCGUGCCGUGAGGUGUCGGCUUAAGUGCCAUAACGAGCGCAACCCCUAUCGCCAGUUACCAUCAAGUAAAGUUGGGGACUCUGGCGAGACUGCCGGCGCAAGCUGAGAGGAAGGCGGGGAUGACGUCAAAUCAGCACGGCCCUUACGUCCGGGGCGACACACGUGUUACAAUGGCAGGUACAGAGAGAAGCCAGGUGGCGACACCGCGCGGAACUCGAAAGCCUGUCUCAGUUCGGAUCGGAGUCUGCAACCCGACUCCGUGAAGCUGGAUUCGCUAGUAAUCGCGCAUCAGCCAUGGCGCGGUGAAUACGUUCCCGGGCCUU